CAGCAAGUUUCUCAUGAAAGUCUCCAGAUUCAAUCAAACUUCAAUACCUCAUUGGCACGAAGUAAACUGAUAUUUAACAUCUUUGGACAGCACUUCUUUACAGUUGUGUUUGGCCCAUGCUCCUACUUAUAGAAAGAGGCAAAUGGUAAAGUCAAUGCUUUAUGCCCUGGAAAGUGCCCCUAGUAGAGAACUUUGGUUUCCAAUGACACCAUAUAUUCUCCAUGUGUUCUGUCUUAUGCUUAGUAUGAAUGUUCACAGUUUCAAGAAAGAAGUCAUCAUUUUUAUGCAUUAGUGGUUGAGUUCUACAUGACAAGAAGCUUUCUCUUCUCUUCCUCCAAUAGUGAGCUGUGAGAUUAUUUGGACACAGGCAUAGAGCAUCAUGGGUUAUUCACAGCAGCACUGGGCAGAGGAAGAAGUUAAGACAUGAUUCGAGGUCUAAAUGACAAGGCAGGAUGUCUGGGAUGCCUGAUCCAGCUGCAGUGAUGGGACCUGGAGAGUCAGGCAAAGAUGGCAUCUUAAGCACAGAAGCCUUCCAAAUUCCAAUGAAAGUGUCAAAGGGAACACAAGAAUUGGAAAAUGUUGCAUCAGUGCUAGAAGCUAGAGAAGAACACCUUUCACCUACAGAAAUGUGAAUUGCAUAAGAAAUCAUUCCAAAACUGUCGCCUGAGCUUCCUCACAACAUGGCAGCCUCACGCUUUUUUACACAACAGUUCAGCUCCAAAGAUGAGUGUUUCAAAUGAACGGAGUGCACGCUCAAGGGCCUUCUACCAUGGCCUACCUCUGAAGCCAACUGCUGUACUCUGUUGGUCCACCAAUCACUCAGGUUGGUCCAGAUUCAGGCGGAAUACUUAGAGAUCUCACCUCUCAGCAGGAGGAACGUCAAAAAACUUGAAGCAUAAAUAUAUGUGGAAUACCAGAACCACAGAUGAAAUAAGAUCAUGUUCUCACUCUCCUGUUGUUCAGUCAGACGCCCGGGAUAGAUCUCAUCUUCUGAACAGUUAUCCAGCUGAGUAUCAGAGAUGCUCCUGCCUCUCAGGGUGUUCUUGCUUCUUCAUGACCAUACUUACAAAAGGCAUCUGUUCUUUUGACAAUGCCCACUUUAAUGGACAUUAAUUAAUGUCCAUAGCUGUGACUUUCAAAAUUUGUAUGUAUC
rnacentral:lncRNA from 1 species